GAGUGUAGUUUAAUGGUAAAACCUCAGCCUUCCAAGCUGAUGACGCGGGUUCGAUUCCCGUCACUC
rnacentral:tRNA from 2 species